rnacentral:rRNA from 1 species
AGCGGCGGACGGGUGAGUAACACGUGGGUAACCUGCCCAAGAGACUGGGAUAACACCUGGAAACAGAUGCUAAUACCGGAUAACAACACUAGACGCAUGUCUAGAGUUUGAAAGAUGGUUCUGCUAUCACUCUUGGAUGGACCUGCGGUGCAUUAGCUAGUUGGUAAGGUAACGGCUUACCAAGGCAAUGAUGCAUAGCCGAGUUGAGAGACUGAUCGGCCACAUUGGGACUGAGACACGGCCCAAACUCCUACGGGAGGCAGCAGUAGGGAAUCUUCCACAAUGGACGAAAGUCUGAUGGAGCAACGCCACGUGAGUGAAGAAGGGUUUCGGCUCGUAAAGCUCUGUUGGUAGUGAAGAAAGAUAGAGGUAGUAACUGGCCUUUAUUUGACGGUAAUUACUUAGAAAGUCACGGCUAACUACGUGCCAGCAGCCGCGGUAAUACGUAGGUGGCAAGCGUUGUCCGGAUUUAUUGGGCGUAAAGCGAGUGCAGGCGGUUCAAUAAGUCUGAUGUGAAAGCCUUCGGCUCAACCGGAGAAUUGCAUCAGAAACUGUUGAACUUGAGUGCAGAAGAGGAGAGUGGAACUCCAUGUGUAGCGGUGGAAUGCGUAGAUAUAUGGAAGAACACCAGUGGCGAAGGCGGCUCUCUGGUCUGCAACUGACGCUGAGGCUCGAAAGCAUGGGUAGCGAACAGGAUUGGAUACCCUGGUAGUCCAUGCCGUAAACGAUGAGUGCUAAGUGU